rnacentral:lncRNA from 1 species
UCUAGUACUCUUUAAAGAAAUGCCUAUGUAUACGCUGUUGUUGCCUUUUAUGGCUGUGUUUUAUAUAUGUGUAUGUGCAUAACGUGAAACUUUUGAGAAAUACAGUUUUUUAAACACUAUUUGGAAUUGACCUCUGUGCUUGUUUUACAGUGACUUCAGAAAAUGUCAGUAUAUUUCACAUUUAUUUUCGUAAAUAUUAAUAUCACAGAUUUGCAUACUAUUUAGCUAUCCACAUUUAAUAUGACAUUUGGAAGACAUCUUUUAAAAAUGAGAUCAUAUUUUUUUUUUCAAUCGGUUUGAUUAUCCAAUGUUUUGUUCAAUUUCAAAGCAAUUAUGUUUAGGCCAAAGUUUUAAAAUAGAUAUAUGAGAAGAUUUGACAGUACAUGUUUAUGUAGCUUUUGAAGUGUAUAAUAUUGUAAAAAGAAAUGUUAUAAAGUUGUUUUACCAGAUACAAUGUAAUUGCUUUUAGUAAAAUGGAGACAACUUAUGUGUUGUGUAGUAAAUUGUUGAGCACAUUGA